GGGCCUGUAAAGGUUUCGACGGGGGUUUUGAACUUAGGAUAGCCAUCCGCGGUCCGUUCCGCGUACCAAACGGAAACCUAAAUAUAAACGCAGACAAUAAGUUAGCGUUCGCAGCCUAAGCGCUGCUGUCGGCCUUUGGUAACCUGCUGCCAAAGAUCCCGGCAUCGACCAGGCAGGGCACUUCGUUCCCUAAGCUUUGCGGGAAUGGAAGAUCUUAUGAAGCUACCGAACAUUUCAGCCUGUCAUUUGGCGGCUAUGUGAGGGAAUCCCAAUAAAAUGACUGUGAUGGAAGAAGUCUUAACGGAAGAGCUUUCGGACGCGGGUUCGAUUCCCGCCAGGUCCACU
rnacentral:tmRNA from 1 species